GAUGAACGCUGGCGGCGUGCCUAAUACAUGCAAGUCGAGCGAAUGGAUUAAGAGCUUGCUCUUAUGAAGUUAGCGGCGGACGGGUGAGUAACACGUGGGUAACCUGCCCAUAAGACUGGGAUAACUCCGGGAAACCGGGGCUAAUACCGGAUAACAUUUUGAACCGCAUGGUUCGAAAUUGAAAGGCGGCUUCGGCUGUCACUUAUGGAUGGACCCGCGUCGCAUUAGCUAGGUGGUGAGGUAACGGCUCACCAAGGCAACGAUGCGUAGCCGACCUGGGAGGGUGAUCGGCCACACUGGGACUGAGACACGGCCCAGACUCCUACGGGAGGCAGCAGUAGGGAAUCUUCCGCAAUGGACGAAAGUCUGACGGAGCAACGCCGGGUGAGUGAGGAAGGCUUUCGGGUCGUAAAACUCUGUUGUUAGGGAAGAACAAGUGCUAGUUGAAUAAGCUGGCACCUUGACGGUACCUAACCAGAAAGCCACGGCUAACUACGUGCCAGCCGCCGCCGUAA
rnacentral:rRNA from 1 species